GGUUAAGCUAAGAAGAGCGUAGGGAGAAUGCCUUGGCAUUAGGAGCCGAUGAAGGACGUGAUAAGCUGCGAUAAGCUGCGGGGAUCAGCAAGUAUGAAUUGAUCCGCAGAUUUCCGAAUGGAGCAAUCCGUAUGUGUAUGCACAUACAUCAUAUACUGAAUCAAAUAGGUAUAUGAGGGGAACCGCCUGAACUGAAACAUCUAAGUAGGGCGAGGAAGAGAAAUCAACCGAGAUUCUGUGAGUAGUGGCGAGCGAAAGCGGAAGAGGCUAAACCAUAGGUAGCAAUACUUAUGGGGUUUCGGACAGCAUUUAGUAUUGAUAAUUUCUAGUUGAAACGUGUGGGAAAACGUACCGAAGAGUGUGAGAGUCACGUAAGCGAAAGAGAAAGUCAGCGAGCUGUAUCCAAAGUACCGCGGGACACGUGAAACCCCGUGGGAAGAUGGGGGGACCAUCCUCCAAGCCUAAAUACUACCUAAUGACCGAUAGCGAAUAGUACUGUGAAGGAACGGUGAAAAGAACCCCGGGAGGGGAGUGAAAAAGAACCUGAAACCCUAUGCUUACAAGCACCGAGAGCACGUCAAAGUGUGAUCGGGUACCUUUUGUAGAAUGGUCCGGCGAGUUAUUGUAUGCGGCAAGGUUAAGUGCUUAAGGCACGGAGCCGAAGCGAGAGCAAGUCUGAACAGGGCGAAAAAGUCGUAUGCAAUAGACCCGAAACCGAGUGACCUAUCCAUGUCCAGGCUGAAGUGGAGGUAAAACUCCAUGGAGGGCCGAACACACGUCCGUUGAAAAGGCCGGUGAUGAGGUGUGGAUAGCGGAGAAAUUCCAAUCGAACUCGGAUAUAGCUGGUUCUCUCCGAAAUAGCUUUAGGGCUAGCCUCGUGAAAGAUUACUGGAGGUAAAGCACUGAAUGGGCUAGGGGUCGAAAGAUUACUGAACCCUAUCAAACUAAGAAUGCCAGAUAAUUGAUUCACGGGAGUCAGACAAUGUGAGAUAAGUCUCAUUGUCAAAAGGGAAACAGCCCAGACCCACAGCUAAGGUCCCUAAACAUUGUUAAGUGGAAAAGGAUGUGGGGUUGCAUAAACAACCAGGAUGUUGGCUUAGAAGCAGCCACUCAUUAAAAGAGUGCGUAAUAGCUCACUGGUCGAGUGACCCUGCGCCGAAAAUUCAACGGGGCUAAACAAUGUACCGAAGCUUGGGAUUCUAAAGUAAUUUAGAGUGGUAGGAGAGCGUCGAAUAAGGGGUGAAGUCAGAGCGGAAGCGCUGGUGGACUUUAUUCGAGUGAGAAUGCCGGAAUGAGUAGCGAGAAUUAUGUGAGAAUCAUAAUGGCCGAAAAUCUAAGGUUUCCUGAGGAAGGUUCGUCCGCUCAGGGUAAGCCGGG
rnacentral:rRNA from 1 species